rnacentral:rRNA from 1 species
UAAUACGGAGGAUGCGAGCGUUAUCCGGAUUUAUUGGGUUUAAAGGGUGCGUAGGCUGUUAUAUAAGUCAGUGGUGAAAUAUUCGGGCUCAACCGGGAUACUGCCAUUGAUACUGUAUAGCUGGAAUAUGGUUGCUGUGGGUGGAAUGUGUGGUGUAGCGGUGAAAUGCAUAGAUAUCACACAGAAUAUCGAUUGCGAAGGCAACUCACAAAGCCAUUAUUGACGCUGAUGCACGAAAGUGUGGGGAUCAAACAGGAUUAGAUACCCUGGUAGUCCACACUGUAAACGAUGAUAACUAGCUGUCGGCGAUAGAUAGUCGGUGGCUAAGCGAAAGCGAUAAGUUAUCCACCUGGGGAGUACGACCGCAAGGUUGAAACUCAAAGGAAUUGACGGGGGCCCGCACAAGCGGAGGAACAUGUGGUUUAAUUCGAUGAUACGCGAGGAACCUUACCCGGGCUCGAACGGUGCAGGAAUAUGGUAGAGAUAUCAUAGCUAGCAAUAGUCUGUAUCGAGGUGCUGCAUGGUUGUCGUCAGCUCGUGCCGUGAGGUGUCGGCUUAAGUGCCAUAACGAGCGCAACCCUUGUCGUUAGUUACCAUCAAGUAAAGUUGGGGACUCUAGCGAGACUGCCACCGUAAGGUGUGAGGAAGGGGGGGAUGACGUCAAAUCAGCACGGCCCUUACGUCCGGGGCGACACACGUGUUACAAUGGUAGGUACAGAGGGGCGCUAUCCAGUGAUGGAGUGCGAAUCUCAAAAACCUAUCUCAGUUCGGAUUGGAGUCUGCAACUCGACUCCAUGAAG